UAGUGAAUUAGGUGUGAUUGGUGUAUUGUUAGAUUAAAGUUAACUACUAAUUGUGGUGCAUUAGAUGUGAUUGCUUUAUCAAUUAAUAUUUUUUCAUGUAAGCAAUGGUUUUAUCACUUUAAGAUUUAUAAAGCUCAACCUCUCCUUUCAUCAAUUAAAUAUUUUUUAGUUCUUAUGAAUUUCUAAUACCAUCCUAAAAUACUGAUCAUUAUUAAACGUCUAUAAAUAUAUUAAUGGCCUUAGUUUGUAAUUUUAUUAUACAUGAUAUAGAGGUCACAUCAAAAUUUAUCAAUCAUAAGAAAUUAUUAUUUUUUUGUAACCUGUCGCGGUAGGAAAGGAAAAAUCACACAAAAUGAAUAAUGUUUUUGAACAACAUAUUUAUGCAUUGUUGUGUAAAUCAUUGAAUCAAAGUUAUCUACCAAAUGAAGUGCAUUAGGUGUGAUUAAUGUAUUGUUAGAUCAAAGUUAACUACUAAUUAUGUUGCAUUAGAUGUGAUUUCUUCGUGUGACUCAUAGGCUAUAUAUAUUGAAUAUGCUGGAUUUGAAAUUUAUAGAUAAUUCCUCAAGAGAGUAUGAAAAUUUUGUCCGUCAAAGUACAAAGAGUACUUAACCCACAAAGACGGAAAAGGUACAAGAUAUACUCGACCCACUAAAAACCAACAUUCAAUCAAGAGUCAAUACAUAAGAGUGGAUGUGAAUGUCACGCAUAAUACAAAUAAUUUGCCCCUUUUUAUAGCUAGAAGCCAUCUCUAAGAGGUUAAUUUUAUUCCUUCUACAAUAUCCUCCAUCUCCACUCUCCUUAAAAAGAAAAUGAUCUUAUUCCUAACCUCCCAAAUCUUCCGUAUUGUGACAUACCAAAUGAAAGUUAGCUCCGUCGGGUGUUUUUUGCUCCAUGACAAGGUUGAGAAAUACUCAAAAAGAGAAAUAACAUUUUCGGGUAGAGAGAUGCCAACUUCGAUCCACGUAAAGAUCAAUUACCCUACUCUUCCAACAAAAAGACACCUAUAAACAAAUGAUCCUUCACCUCAACAGUCUCUAGACACCACACACAAUUUGGACCAUCUUCUACUAACACCCCCCACCCAUUGACGGUAAAUUCCCACAGGUUGGAAGUCUAUCAAGGAUAAGUUGCCACGAGAUCAUUUGAACCUUUGAUAGAGCUGAGCUAGUCCAUGUCCCCCUUAAACCCCUUCAAGUCGUCUCCCUCAAAUGAGAAGAAAAAAAUUAUCACUCAAUGCAACAUAUUGGGAUAUAACCGUGAAACCAUGUGAAGUAUAUCACACAACCAAUUGCACUUAUCCUCCUCUUUUGUGGCUUGACGAGAAUCUUACCAACCUUUUAACUCACCCAAAUCUUGGUUUCUCCCAUCCAAAAGGCCCCAUCCUCUAUUGAUAACUCCAAUUCCACUAAUUAUCUUUCCAUCACCUCAUUUUACUAAUUUUACUAUUCUUUUGAAGAAUUAAUGAAAAUAAACAAGGAAAUACUUGAGAGAAGGAUUUCCCACCACUAAGUAUAAUGCAAAAAAAAAAAAAAAAUGUUGAAUCCCCAUUUCAAAUAAUUUUCUUUGCAUACCCCAUAAAUGAAUUUUGAUUGUUAUCCAAACCCUUCCCUAAGGCAAACACAUCCAUCCACCAAGUUGAAGUAAAUUUAAAUUUAUUUCUAUAAAAAAAAAAAAUACCGAUACUCAGAUUUUCCUUUAUACUUCUUCAACAUGUCUUUCCACAAAACCUUUUUAUCGUUCAAUAAGCGUCAUUUCCACUUACUUACAUUGGCCAAAUUUAAAAACAUCAUUUCCUUCAUCUCCACCACCCACUCAAAGAGAGAAAUAACAUUUUCGGGUAGAGAGAUGUCAACUUUGAUCAACAUAAAGAUCAAUUACCCUACUCUUCCAAUAAAAAGACACCUAUAAAACAAAUGAUCCUUCACCUCAACAGUCUCUAGACACCACACACAAUUUGGACCAUCUUCUACUAACACCCCCCACCCACUGACGGUAAAUUCCCACAGGUUGGAAGCCUGUCAAGUAUAAGUUGCCCCGAGAUAAUUUGGACCUUUGAUAGAGCUGAGCUAGUCCAUGGCCCCCUUAAACCCCUUCAAGUCAUCUCCCUCAAAUGAGAAUAAAAAAAAUUAUCACUCAAUGCAACAUAUUGGGAUAUAACCGUGAAACCAUGUGAAGUAUAUCACGCAACCAAUUGCACUUAUCCUCCUCUUUUGUGGCUUGAUGAGAAUCUUACCAACCUUUUAACUCACCCAAAUCUUGGUUUCCCCCAUCCGAAAGGCCCCAUCCUCUAUUGAUAACCCCAAUUCCACUGAUUGUCUUUCCAUCACCUCAUUUUACUAUUCUUUUGAAGAAUUAAUGAAAAUAAACAAGGAAAUACUUGAGAGAAGGAUUUCCCACUGUCGCGUCAUUUUUUGGAGAUCAAGGCUAUUUGAUUAGCUUUUGAAUCACUAAUUAUUUCACGACUGAACUUUUAAUUUUUAAGAAAAAGGGGAAAAAAGUUCAAAACUACCCCAGUUUGAAAAGAUUUUGGGUUCGGGGGUUAGUUACAUAAAGCGAAGGUAUUAGCACCCUUUAUGUCCGUAGUACUCUACGGGAACCUCUUGAUUUUAUUUAAUUUAAUGUGCUAUAAACUUGCUUCCUAAAAAAAGUUAAUGUGAUGAUUAAAAAGAAAAGAAAGUGAGACCUAAUUUAUCUACAUUUUUAUUGUUUGAAAGGACAUGGUCCUCUGCCUACGUACCCGUGAAGGAUCAAAACCUCGUAGUUCGGGGUAGUGUUUUUAUUAGUUUUGAAAAAGGUUUUAAAAGGAAAAGCCAAAUGGCAAAAUAAAAAUUGAUUUGUGUUUUUUAUUAAAAAGAAAGAUGACUCGAAGUAUGAUUAAAUUGAUUGAUAUUUGAUUAAGAAAAUAAAAUGAAAAAAGACGAUCACUUGAUUUAGUGGAUCAAGGUUUAUUAUGAAAAAUGUUUUUGUGAUUUUUUGGUUAUUUGUAUGUUUUUGUUGUUUUUUUGAAUAAAUGCUAACCUAAAAAUGUAAACUAACGGAGCAAGGAAAUUAAAAACGUUUGUAACCUAAGCUAGAAGCAUAAAAUAAAGCAUACACCCACACACACACCCAUGCACCUAAACUAUUACAAAAAAAUUAUAUUUACAUUCUAAGGUCUGCAGAAAAUAAAUGACAAGAAAUAAAUUAUUUACAUCAAAGCCUAAUUUACAUUCUAACAU
rnacentral:lncRNA from 1 species